rnacentral:rRNA from 1 species
AGUGAACGCUGGCGGUAGGCCUAACACAUGCAAGUCGAACGGCAGCACAGUAAGAGCUUGCUCUUACGGGUGGCGAGUGGCGGACGGGUGAGGAAUACAUCGGAAUCUACUUUUUCGUGGGGGAUAACGUAGGGAAACUUACGCUAAUACCGCAUACGACCUACGGGUGAAAGCAGGGGAUCUUCGGACCUUGCGCGUUUCAAUGCGCCGAUGUCGGAUUAGCUAGUUGGCGGGGUAAAGGCCCACCACGGCGACGAUCCGUAGCUGGUCUGAGAGGAUGAUCAGCCACACUGGAACUGAGACACGGUCCAGACUCCUACGGGAGGCAGCAGUGGGGAAUAUUGGACAAUGGGCGCAAGCCUGAUCCAGCCAUACCGCGUGGGUGAAGAAGGCCUUCGGGUUGUAAAGCCCUUUUGUUGGGAAAGAAAAGCAGCAGGUUAAUACCCCGCUGUUCUGACGGUACCCAAAGAAUAAGCACCGGCUAACUUCGUG